GAUAGCUCAGUCGGUAGAGCAGUGGACUGUUAAUCCAUUGGUCGCUGGUUCAAGUCCAGCUC
rnacentral:tRNA from 1 species